rnacentral:rRNA from 1 species
AUGGUUUUUAGAGGAAGACAUCAGAUGAAGAAAGCUCUAAUAAAAUAUGGCAUUAAGAAACAUGUGCAUAUUGCUUUCACAAAGGAUGAAAAUCAUAAAGUAGGUGCAAAGUGUACUUGGCCUGGCUGCAACUGGAUGAUCUAUGCU